rnacentral:rRNA from 1 species
AUGUGUAUGAGAAAGCAAGAAGGCGGGCUAGGAUUCAGGGAUCCAGAAGCAUUUAAGCAAGCCUUGCUAGCCAAGCAAGCCUGGCGCUUGCUGCAAGAGCCGAAUUCUUUGUGUGCUAGAGUACUUAAAGCGAGGUAUUAUCCAGAUGGAUCCAUUCGAAAUGCUACAUGUCCCGACGGGGGUUCGUUCACUUUCAGAAGUGUUCUGCAUGGUUGA